rnacentral:rRNA from 1 species
GAUGAACGCUGGCGGCGUGCCUAAUACAUGCAAGUCGAGCGAACAGACGAGGAGCUUGCUCCUCUGACGUUAGCGGCGGACGGGUGAGUAACACGUGGAUAACCUACCUAUAAGACUGGGAUAACUUCGGGAAACCGGAGCUAAUACCGGAUAAUAUAUUGAACCGCAUGGUUCAAUAGUGAAAGACGGUUUUGCUGUAACUUAUAGAUGGAUCCGCGCCGCAUUAGCUAGUUGGUAAGGUAACGGCUUACCAAGGCAGCGAUGCGUAGCCGACCUGAGAGGGUGAUCGGCCACACUGGAACUGAGACACGGUCCAGACUCCUACGGGAGGCAGCAGUAGGGAAUCUUCCGCAAUGGGCGAAAGCCUGACGGAGCAACGCCGCGUGAGUGAUGAAGGUCUUCGGAUCGUAAAACUCUGUUAUGAGGGAAGAACAAAUGUGUAAGUAACUAUGCACGUCUUGACGGUACCUAAUCAGAAAGCCACGGCUAACUACGUG